rnacentral:tRNA from 2 species
GGGCCCGUAGCCUAGCGGACAAGGCGGCAGCCUUCGGAGUUGCAGAUCAGGGGUUCAAAAUUGUAUGGCUCGCAUACAUUGAAAAUCCCCUCGGGCCCG